GACGAACGCUGGCGGCGUGCUUAACACAUGCAAGUCGAACGGAAAGGCCCUGCUUUUGUGGGGUGCUCGAGUGGCGAACGGGUGAGUAACACGUGAGUAACCUGCCCUUGUCUUUGGGAUAACUUCAGGAAACUGGGGCUCAUACCGGAUAGGAGCUCCUGAUGCAUGGUGGGGGUUGGAAAGUUUCGGCGGUUGGGGAUGGACUCGCGGCUUAUCAGCUUGUUGGUGGGGUAGUGGCUUACCAAGGCUUUGACGGGUAGCCGGCCUGAGAGGGUGACCGGCCACAUUGGGACUGAGAUACGGCCCAGACUCCUACGGGAGGCAGCAGUGGGGAAUAUUGCACAAUGGGCGGAAGCCUGAUGCAGCAACGCCGCGUGCGGGAUGACGGCCUUCGGGUUGUAAACCGCUUUCGCCUGUGACGAAGCGUGAGUGACGGUAAUGGGUAAAGAAGCACCGGCUAACUACGUG
rnacentral:rRNA from 1 species